CCUACGGGAGGCAGCAGUGGGGGAUAUUGCACAAUGGGCGGAACCCUGAUGCAGCGACGCCGCGUGGGUGAAGAAGCGCCUCGGCGCGUAAAGCUCUGUCAGCAGGGAAGAAAAUGACGGCACCUGAAGAAGAAGCCCCGGCUAACUACGAGCCAGCAGCCGCGGAAAUACGUAGGGGGCAAGCGUUAUUCGGAUUUACUGGGGGGAAAGGGGGCGCAGACGGGGAUGCAAGCCAGGAGUGAAAGCCCGGGGCCCAACCCCCGGAGUGCUGGUGGAACUGAGUGGCUGGAGUGCAGGAGAGGCAGGCGGAAUGCCUGGUGUAGCGGUGAAAUGCGUAGAUAUCAGGAGGAACACCGGUGGCGAAGGCGGCCUACUGGACUGCAACUGACGUUGAGGCACGAAAGCGUGGGGAGCAAACAGGAUUAGAUAUCCCAGUAGUC
rnacentral:rRNA from 1 species